rnacentral:rRNA from 1 species
CCGCGUGAAUGAUGAAGGUCUUAGGAUUGUUAAAAUUCUUUCAGUGGGAAGAUAAUGACGGUACCACAGAAGAAGCCCGGCUAACUUCGUGC